rnacentral:rRNA from 1 species
UACGUAGGGGGCAAGCGUUGUCCGGAUUAUUGGGCGUAAAGAGCGUGUAGGCGGCCAUACAGGUCCGUUGUGAAACUCGAGGCUUAACCUCGAGACGUCGAUGGAAACCGUAUGGCUAGAGUCCGGAAGAGGAGAGUGGAAUCCUGGUGUAGCGGUGGAAUGCGCGAGAUAUCAGGAGGAACACCAAUGCGAAGGCAGCUCGCUGGGACGGUAUUGACGCUAAGGCGCGAAAGCGUGGGGAGCAAACAGG